AGGACGAACGCUGGCGGCGUGCUUAACACAUGCAAGUCGAGCGGAAAGGCCCUUCGGGGUACUCGAGCGGCGAACGGGUGAGUAACACGUGAGUAACCUGCCCUGGACUUUGGGAUAACCCUCGGAAACGGGGGCUAAUACCGAAUAUGACCUGACGCUGCAUGGUGUUUGGUGGAAAGUUUUUCGGUCUGGGAUGGGCUCGCGGCCUAUCAGCUUGUUGGUGGGGUGAUGGCCUACCAAGGCGACGACGGGUAGCCGGCCUGAGAGGGCGACCGGCCACACUGGGACUGAGACACGGCCCAGACUCCUACGGGAGGCAGCAGUGGGGAAUAUUGCACAAUGGGCGGAAGCCUGAUGCAGCGACGCCGCGUGAGGGAUGACGGCCUUCGGGUUGUAAACCUCUUUCAGCAGGGACGAAGCGCAAGUGACGGUACCUGCAGAAGAAGCGCCGGCCAACUACGUGCCAGCAGCCGC
rnacentral:rRNA from 1 species